GGGCGUGUAGCUCAGCGGGAGAGCACUACGUUGACAUCGUAGGGGUCACAAGUUCAAUCCUUGUCACGCCCACCA
rnacentral:tRNA from 3 species